CCGACACAGGUGGUCGGGUAGAGAAUACCAAGGCGCUUGAGAGAACUCGGGUGAAGGAACUAGGCAAAAUGGUACCGUAACUUCGGGAGAAGGUACGCUCUUGAUGGUGAAGUCCCUCGCGGAUGGAGCUGACGAGAGUCGCAGAUACCAGGUGGCUGCAACUGUUUAUUAAAAACACAGCACUGUGCAAAAUCGCAAGAUGACGUAUACGGUGUGACGCCUGCCCGGUGCCGGAAGGUUAAUUGAUGGGGUUAGCGCAAGCGAAGCUCUUGAUCGAAGCCCCGGUAAACGGCGGCCGUAACUAUAACGGUCCUAAGGUAGCGAAAUUCCUUGUCGGGUAAGUUCCGACCUGCACGAAUGGCGUAAUGAUGGCCACGCUGUCUCCACCCGAGACUCAGUGAAAUUGAAAUCGCUGUGAAGAUGCAGUGUACCCGCGGCUAGACGGAAAGACCCCGUGAACCUUUACUACAGCUUGGCACUGAACAUUGAACCUACAUGUGUAGGAUAGGUGGGAGGCUAUGAAGACGUGACGCCAGUUGCGUUGGAGCCGUCCUUGAAAUACCACCCUUGUAUGUUUGAUGUUCUAACUUAGACCCAUUAUCUGGGUUGAGGACAGUGCCUGGUGGGUAGUUUGACUGGGGCGGUCUCCUCCCAAAGAGUAACGGAGGAGCACGAAGGUGGGCUAAUCACGGUUGGACAUCGUGAGGUUAGUGCAAUGGCAUAAGCCCGCUUAACUGCGAGAAUGACGGUUCGAGCAGGUGCGAAAGCAGGUCAUAGUGAUCCGGUGGUUCUGUAUGGAAGGGCCAUCGCUCAACGGAUAAAAGGUACUCCGGGGAUAACAGGCUGAUACCGCCCAAGAGUUCAUAUCGACGGCGGUGUUUGGCACCUCGAUGUCGGCUCAUCACAUCCUGGGGCUGAAGUCGGUCCCAAGGGUAUGGCUGUUCGCCAUUUAAAGUGGUACGCGAGCUGGGUUUAGAACGUCGUGAGACAGUUCGGUCCCUAUCUGCCGUGGGCGUUGGAAGAUUGAAGGGGGCUGCUCCUAGUACGAGAGGACCGGAGUGGACGAACCUCUGGUGUUCGGGUUGUGUCGCCAGACGCAUUGCCCGGUAGCUAAGUUCGGAAUUGAUAAGCGCUGAAAGCAUCUAAGCGCGAAGCGAGCCCUGAGAUGAGUCUUCCCUGACAGUUUAACUGUCCUAAAGGGUUGUUCGAGACUAGAACGUUGAUAGGCAGGGUGUGUAAGCGUUGUGAGGCGUUGAGCUAACCUGUACUAAUUGCCCGUGAGGCUUAACCAU
rnacentral:rRNA from 1 species